UAUAAUCUUCAACUAUACUUGAGUGGAAAUAGAAAAGAACUACUACGGAUUUUGUUGUUGGUUUAUCUUGCACUUUUAAGAGAAAUGAUGCUAUUUAGGUAAUAGUUGAUAGGUUAAGAAAAUCAGGACACUUCUUUUACCUAUUCAACAAAAUGAUUAAUUGGAUAAGUUAGCUAACUUGUAUGUGAAAGAAAUUCUUAGGUUGCAUGGUGUACCUAUCUCUAUUAUUUCAGAUAGGGAUUCUCGAUUUACAUCUCAUUUCUAGAAGAGCUUACAAGUGGCAAUAAGAACUAAAUUGCAUUUUAGUACUGCUUUUCAUCCACAUACAUAUGGGCAAUCUGAGAGAACCAUUCAAACUUUUGAAGACAUGUUACGGGCUUGUGCAUUAGAGUAUAGCAAAAAUUGGGAUGAACAAGUACCACUUAUAGAAUUUGCUUACGAUAAUGGUUUUCAUUCUAGUAUUAGUAUGCCAUUAUAUGAGGCAUUAUAUGGGAGAAAAUAUAGAAGCCCUAUAUGUUGGAAUGUAGAAGGGUUGAGACAAUUGGAAGGUCUUGAAAUUGUUCAAGAAACAGUAGACAAGAUACAAGUUGUUGAGCAAUGUAUCAAGGCCAUACAAGAUAGACAGAAAAGCUAUGCAGAUAAAUGCAGAAGGGAGAUUGAGUAUUGAAGUUGGGAAUAAAGUUUUCUUGAGAGUAUCACCAUGGAGGGGUAUCCUUCGAUUUGGUAAACAAGGUGUUAGAAGAUCGAAAAACUAUGCAAAAAUGAACUUGAGAAGUGCAAAGCUGACCGACUCAGUGCUAAGCUGACCGGUUGUGAGUGGUGGCUUCGGGCGUGUCCCCAAGUGUCUCUAGCGACUACCGCAGUGCAAGGUUUUUCAACAUAAUCGAAAAACAUACUAACUAGUCACAUAGACUAGCGUAGAGAUGGAGUUGCCAUUCGGAUAAUUCUCUGGGACACUUUUACUAAUUUGAGUGACGUACUAGAUUCCAUAAGGAGAAUGCCACAUCUUAUAGAUGGAUCUGGAAGUCAACUUCUUUAUUUGUGUAUCUUAGUCUUUAAUUUUAUUAUUUAACAAGCUCUUCCUUAUAAAUAAAACUGUUUAUAUUUACAAGCAUC